UUUUUGCAGAACUUGUAUUUAUCUUGUGAUUCCUUGACUGUCAAUAAAUCAUUGUUUUUAUGUUCCUAGAGCAGCAACAAUGAAGCAACUCAGAAAUGGCAUUAGAAUUCCAGUUGGGGUUUUAUUCCAAUACUAUUCAGCAUAAACAGAUGUAGCAGAAAGAUGAGCACCUCUAUAGCAUAACAAUUCAGAUAAUAAAAAGACCAACUGUCAUAAAAGUGACCCACACAGUUUUAAAAGAAGUCGGAGACAGUGAGAGGUGUGUAUUCUUUCAAGAAGAAGCAAAGAGCCACUUUCCAGGCAAGCUGCUAUAGAGGAAACUUUAUGAGUCAACUCAUGACAGAUUAAUCAAUGGGAUUUUUUUUGAAGUUAUCUGUGAUUUAAAAAAAAAAAAAAAAAGGAAAAAAGAAAGAGGAAGAGACAUUUCAUUUGCUAUUUUUCAAGCAAAAAUAUGUCUGAAAUGAAAUAUGUCUGUUUAUU
rnacentral:lncRNA from 1 species